UGCAAGUCGAACGGAAUCAAGAUCUCGGUUUUGAUUUAGUGGCGGACGGGUGAGUAACGCGUAAGAACCUACCCCAUGGAGAGGGAUAGCCACUAGAAAUGGUGAUUAAUACCUCGUAUGCUGAGGAGUAAAAGGGAUAAAACCCGCCACGGGAUGGGCUUGCGUCUGAUUAGCUUGUUGGGGUGGUAAAGGCACACCAAGGCGAUGAUCAGUAGCUGGUCUGAGAGGAUGAUCAGCCACACCGAGACUGAGAAACGGCUCGGACUCC
rnacentral:rRNA from 1 species